rnacentral:rRNA from 1 species
CGAAAAGAACCCCUGUGAGGGGAGUGAAAUAGAUCCUGAAACCGCAUGCAUACAAGCAGUGGGAGCCGACUUGUUCGGUGACUGCGUACCUUUUGUAUAAUGGGUCAGCGACUUACAUUCAGUAGCGAGGUUAACCGCAUAGGGGAGCCGUAGAGAAAUCGAGUCUUAAUAGGGCGUUUAGUUGCUGGGUGUAGACCCGAAACCGGGUGAUCUAUCCAUGAGCAGGUUGAAGGUUGGGUAACACUAACUGGAGGACCGAACC